UCCAAUCAUUUCAUUUCCUUUUGUUUUUUUCCUUCCAUCUGCUGAGCUGAAAAAGAUCUGGAUCACUCCCUCCCUCUGUCUCUCUCUUUCAAUUCUCCUUUGCUUGGUGAGCCUCGCCGAUCGCCAUGGACGCCAGCAAGCUUCUGUCCGGUUCAACGACGUCGUCCUCGUUCACGGCGACUUCGUCUUUGACCCUGCCCCGGAGAAAACCUCCAGUGUCUGUCGUGCGGCGGAGGUUAGCGCUGAAUGCGGCGCUGUUGCUGGAGGUAUAACCGAAAUCGAUGAGAGCCAGUUCGCUGAUACGGUGUUGAAAAGCAACCGGCCUGUGCUGGUGGAGUUCGUGGACGACUGGUGUGGGUCCUUGCCGCUUAAUCUCUCCCGCUAUUGAGUGGGUGGCUCAGGUGUCUCCCUUUGGCUUAUAAUCAGUCUUCUCGUCCGGUUUCGUAGAAGAACCCAA